GUCUAUGGCCAUAUCAUCCUGAACCUGACUGAUCUCACCUGGUCUUGGAAGCUAAGCAGGGUUGGGACUGGUUUAGUACUUGGAUGGGAGUCCUGCUAAUGGAUUAUGAAUUUUGUUUAUG
rfam:TPA: Bos taurus chromosome 11, whole genome shotgun sequence.